rnacentral:rRNA from 1 species
GAUGAACGCUGGCGGCGUGCCUAAUACAUGCAAGUCGAACGGACAGGUGCUGCGCUUGCUCCUCUCUCGUUUGCCGCGGACGGGUGUGUCACACGUGUAUCACCCCCCUGUAAGUCUGGGAAAAUUUCGGGACACCGGAGCAUAUCCCGUAUAAUAUCUUGAACCGCAUGGUUCAAUAGUAAAAUACGGUUUUUGGGUCACUAAUCGCUGGAUACGCGCUGCAUUGGCUGGUUGUUAGGGUAACGGCUUAUGAAGGCAACGAGGCGUAGCCGAACUGUGAGGGUGAUCGGCCACACUGGAGCUGAGACACGGUCAAGGCGCCUGCGGGAGGCACCAGUAGGGAAUCUGCCGCAAUGGGCGAAAGCCUGACGGAGCAACGCCGCGCGAGUGACGAAGGUCUUCGGAGCGUAAAACUCUGUUACGAGUGAAGAACAAAUGUGGAAGUAACCAUGCACGGAUUGACGGUACCGAAUCAGAAAGCCACGGCUAACUACGUG